UACGGAGGGCGCAAGCGUUGCUCGGAAUCACUGGGCGUAAAGCGUACGCAGGCGGGUCAGUAAGUCGGUUGUGAAAGCCCGGAGCUCAACUCCGGAAUUGCAGCUGAAACUGCUGACCUUGAGUACGGAAGAGGGGUGCGGAAUUCCUGGUGUAGAGGUGAAAUUCGUAGAUAUCAGGAGGAACACCUGCGGCGAAAGCGGCACCCUGGUCCGAUACUGACGCUCAUGUACGAAAGCGUGGGGAGCAAACAGG
rnacentral:misc_RNA from 1 species